GAUGAACGCUGGCGGCGUGCCUAAUACAUGCAAGUCGAGCGAACAGAUAAGGAGCUUGCUCCUUUGACGUUAGCGGCGGACGGGUGAGUAACACGUGGGUAACCUACCUAUAAGACUGGGAUAACUUCGGGAAACCGGAUCUACUACCGGAUAAUAUUUCGAACCGCAUGGUUCGAUAGUGAAAGAUGGUUUUGCUAUCACUUAUAGAUGACCCCGCGCCGUAUUAGCUAGUUGGUAAGGUAACGGCUUACCAAGGCGACGAUACGUAGCCGACCUGAGAGGGUGAUCGGCCACACUGGAACUGAGAAACGGUCCAGACUCCUACGGGAGGCAGCAGUAGGGAAUCUUACGCAAUGGGCGAAAGCCUGACGGAGCAACGCCGCGUGAGUGAUGAAGGUCUUCGGAUCGUAAAGCUAUGUUAGUAGGGAAGAACAUAAGUGUAAGUAACUGUGCACGUCUUGACGGUACCUAAUCAGAAAGCCACGGCUAACUCCGUG
rnacentral:rRNA from 1 species